rnacentral:lncRNA from 1 species
GCUAGAGUUAGCAACCAAUGUGACAUAAAGAACACUAGAGUUAGUGUGUGGCAAUAAAAGAACAAGUGUGAUAUCAAGAAUGACAAUUACUAAAGUAAUUGAUAAUUGUGGUAUAAAGAAUAAUGAUUGCUAGAGUUAGCAACUAAUGUGAUGUAAAGAACACUAGAGUUAGUGUAAAACCAUGAUCCAACUACAUAUCCUUAGAGUUAAGGAUUGAUCAUACUUGCUAUGAGUUCCGUGCUCGAGGGCGGUCGCUCCCCCUCGAGCGAUGCGCUCCGGAGUUUGGCAUCCGGGUUGGAGUAGACCCGUAAGGACGGUCCUAGCUGGUGAGUUCCUGCGAUGAUGGACUUAAUGUGAAGCAAGUUAAUGUGGCGAAACCCCCGGGUUAGCCGUGAGAUUAAAGAACAAAGAACAAAAAGGAAUCAUGAAUUGGAAAGUGGAUCUUGUAUUCAUUAUGAAUUGACUCAAGACGGAGUCGAGUGGCAUAGUUGGCUAAAGUAAAGGUGACAAUUGAGAAAGAAUGACAAUUGAGAAACGUUUGUUAAUGUUAUAAAGAAUGGCAAAAGUGUAUAAUGCGCCUAAGGUGCGAGUGCCCUUAAUAAAGAAUAAAGAAUAAAGAAUAAAGAAUAAAGAAUAAAGAAUAAAGAGUAAAGAAUGGCUAAUGAUAAAGAAUAGCAAAUUCUAAAGAAAGUCUAAUGGUAAAGAAUAACUAAGAGUUGCAUAAUUUGCAUAUUUGUGAGGCAUGAACAUGUAUUGCAUGAUGUUAUAUGUAUAUAUAUCUGUUGGACUAACAUGUUGCAGUGCCUCCUUUGGACCUGGUGGGUUGAGCUUUUCACUUGGGUGGCUGUACCCACUGACGACUAUGGACAAUAGUCUCACCCCCGUGUUGUUGUUUUUGGGGGUACAGGUUCACACGCGAGCGGCGCGGCGGCGCGAGGAAAGGGCGUAGCUCCGUAGUUAGCGCCCUACCACAGAGACCAGAUAGCAGCACCCUGAGUCGGCUUCUUAGGGGUAUAAGAAAAGAAAAGAAAAGAAUUGAUGUUGUAAUAUUAUGUUUAGAAAUCGAUUGUAUAUUUGGAAGUUGAGAAUCAAUGUAAUGAAAAAUGCGAUGUAAAAUGAUGAGAUGAAUGAUUGUAAUAACAUAGGAUGUGUUAUGUUGUUUGAUACCUUCCUUAUGCAAUCGUUGUUGAAAAAUUGUUCCUGUUUGGAACCUCUUGUACUUGGAUUGAUUGCGACGCCUUGAACGUACAGGGGAGACUCUGUCCGCGUGUAGGGAAAACCCUGUCCGUUCGGCGGUCUGUUGGCGUGCCCGAAUCCGACCAAAGAGGCGGGCUCGGGGCGUGACAGAUAAGAUGGUAUCAGAGCAUAAAGUAGAGAAUGGGAAAGUGGUUUAGAUGAACCUAGGAGACCCUAGGAUAGUAAACCAUAGGAGAUUAAGGCUCGUGAGAGACGAGGACUUGUGGCUUUGGCGAAAGGUUAAGGGAUUGGGUUGUGUUGUAAACCUCUAAAAAGGAGAUUAGAGGUGGAUUCAAGGUGUGGUCUACUCUCAACCGAGGGUGUUCAUGUUGGACGCGUACAACAUGAAACCGAGUGAUGAGAAUAGAUGACCUUGUAUGACUUUCGCCUGAUUUGAGUUGAUGUCAGUUGUCUCGUACUCGACCUAGAAGGUUGAGAGUUAGUUGAGUUGUUAUGUUCUAGGUAACGAUGGCACUGCGUAGGCGAUCUUCGUUUAGAUCGACGCGGGGUGGGACAAGUGAUGUCCCAGAGCAAUCCAAGGCGAGCGGAGAUUUGGAACUUCGCGAACAGUUGGCCACACUUGUGGGUGUGGUGAGGCAACGAGCAGAUGUGGUGCAGCGGCAGCAGGAGGCUGUUAUGCACCAGGAGGAGCGAAUUAAGAGACUCCUGAAAAGUUGUAGGUGUAAUAUACCGAAACUUCGGUAAGCGAACAUCGAACCUUGGUCAAAUUAACCAAAGAGCGAGGUUGGUACACUUCGGAAAGGCCGAAGGCAUCAAAUAAUGCAAAAGUGCGUUACUGGGGAUCUUCGAGAGCUUUGGGAAUCAAAAUCUGCAAAUUGCAGGUUUUCUGCUCUCGGGGACCGGUCUCUGGUGGGAGAGACCGGUCCCCGCACGCGCAGACAGCGAAAGGGAGGAAAAAAAAAAAAAGGCUAAGUCCCCGGUGGACAGCUCUCGGGAACCGGUCCCUGCAGGGAGAGACCGGUCCCGAAGAGACCGGUCCCAUCGGGGGAGACCGGAUGCAUCGUGCGUGAGCCCUGCUGACCGCGGGGAGAGCUCUCGGAGACCGGUCCCUCGUCGGGGAGACCGGUCCCCGAACCUGAGAGUGGCCCAGUCAGGGCAGUGUAAAAGAGUAAAAGUUGAGAGGCUUGUUUGCACUUAUGCAACAUGUGGGGCUAUGUGAGGAGUAUGAGAGCUCUUUUCUCUCAUUUCUCAUCCACACACCCUCUCAUAUCUCUCUUUCUCUCUCUCUAGAAGACAAGAAGAGGAAGAAGAAAGGAAGGAAAAAGAAAGAGAAAGAGCGGGCUUUGGCAGCCCUCAUGACCUUCAUAAAGUUUGAUCCACCUACCUUCGAUGGAGAGAAUGUCGAUUCGUGGAUUGUGGAUACGUGGAUUGACUCCGUGGAAACGCUCUUCGAGGAGCUGUCUACCUUGGAGCGGGACAAGGUACCCCUAGCCGUGUAUUGUUUGAAACAGUCGGCUAAGGCGUGGUGGAAAGGCAUUCGACGGAACCGAUCGCCUAGUAUUCCUCCAUGGCAUGGGAUGAGUUUUGGGGAUUGGUAUCUUCUACUUACUUCCCCCGACAGUGAAAAGAGAAAGCUUCAGGACAAGUUCAGGAAGCUGCGGCAAGGAGACCGCUCAGUUAGAGAAUACGAACGGGAAUUCUCCCUAUCAUGAACUGUAUCCGAGAUAUGGAGCCUGCUGCUGACGACGUCAUGGCGGGUAUGAGCUGUUAAUGCAGUUAUGUGUUUCUGCAUAAUGUAGAGUUGGUGCAUUGCAUGCAUUGAGCAUGUAAUUAAUUACUACUAUUUAUGUAGUAGCAUAGUAGGGUCCAAGUGAGCGGGUAAAUGUAAACACCCGGGCACGCUUAUGUGGUGAAAGCGUUGCACCUGCCGGUGCAGGUAGAGAACUGGAUGGUACUAGCGAGUUGCUAGUGGUGGUCUAAUGAUGAGACUUGUAGUAGAGGUGGAAAUGACGAACCAACUCGCAGAGCAAUCUAUGUAAUUGAUUGCGAGAGUUGUGUCAUGACACUUGUGGACACUCGAAUGGUUUGAGUGUUCUAGAUGUUGCUCCGGUAGAGCGAUUGGCUGCCAAAUACGGGCGCGUUGGCCUAGUAGUACCUCGAAUUGAGGUGGGUGAGUCGUGCUCGUGUGGCCGGUGUGCAUAGGCAAGAGUUGCCUAAUGCUGGACAUAGUGUGGAGCGCUUUAGAGGCGUGCGAUACACGAGUAUAGUUACUCGUGGAGUGCGGAUUUAGUUCAGCCGGAUGAGUGUGUUGGCAGUAGCACCUGAGCAUUGCUAGGUGUGAAGCGUGCCACGGAUCACUCGUGGGGCUGGUGGCUCGCACUAGGUGCAUAGGAGCCGAUAGUGGUACGUAUUGUGCUAUAGAGCGUGUAGUGCGAUUGAUAGUAUACUGAGAGUGCGAGUGUGACCCAACCCGGGAAUCUGUAACGGUUUGGGAUCUUAGUUGCUCCUGGUUGGAGUGUGUGCGAAUUCCCAAGUGAGAAUUUCGCCCCAAUGAUGAUUGGGUCUGCAUUGCGAGCGAGAGACGCUGCGUAUUGAGAAAGGUUUAGGUGGUAGGCCUACAUAGUAUUGGUGGCCUUUGGACCACCAGUGGAAACCGAGGAAAGCGAUUUGGCGGAUAGACUUAUCGAGAGGUUUGACUCGAAUUCACGAACAAAGUGUUCUUGUGAGCUCUUUGCAGAAAUGGUUUGACGUUGACCAUGGCAUAUGGUAUUGAAAAAUGAAGUGCUCUUGGAGAGACCUUGAGCUUAUGGCAAGCCACGUGGAAUUUGAGAACUGGAAGUGGGGAUGUGCCGAAGUGGGCCAUCUCACUUAGAGCAAAAAGUCGGGGCGGAAUUAGAGCACUCGCGGUGAAGCGAUGCACUAGUGAUGUUGCUUUUAAGCAAUGUUGGAGAUAGAAUCGGAGUGUAUUCCCUGAGGGGAAAGUAAAUGCGAAGAAGAGUUCUUGUAUGCCAAAUGACAAGUGGUAUUGGACCGCGUGAAGUCGUUGAGUUUCGACUUGCGCCGCCACCAAGAGUGAUGGAUACCCUAAUGCACUUUGUGAGAUGCGCCUUGCAAAUUUGGAUGCAUUUAGUAUCAUGAACUCCGUGGUAGUCCUCUUGGAUAGUUCCAAGGAGUGUGAAGCCAUUCCGAAGUGGAAAGCGUAUUGGUGCUCUCAAUUACUCGAGGAGCUGAAUCGAGUUGUGGUUUGAAUUUCGCGGACGAAAUUCUUUUAAGGGGUGGAGAAUGUAAUAUACCGAACUUCUAAAUUCACGAAGUUACGAUGUAAGUUAGCUUAGAAAGCCAUUGGAAUCGUCCCGGCGAAGUUCGGGAGCAUUCGGGUGCUUCGGUGCGCAUAGGGCGCGAAAACGGAGCCGAAAGGCUAUGUUGGACCGUGAGUUAAAUCCGGCAUUAGCGUGGAUGAAAAGAUGAUGAAAACAUGUUCGAAAACAUAUUUGGAGAGUCUCGGUUCGAUUUGAAAUGAAUCAGAGGUCAAACGAGCGAAAACGAGCGAAAACGGAGCUAAAAUGGUGAAAAAGCUGAAAAUUUGGCUAAGUCCUUGAAGGCUGAUUUCUGGACCUUCGGGGACCGGUCUCUCAGUCAAGGACCGGUCUCUCAGGGACCGGUCUCUCAUCGCAAGGACCGGUCCCCGAAGCCCGAAAAUGCCCAGUUCGGGCUGUUGUGAGAAAUGCAUUGUUGAGGGUGUUUUCAGCAAUUUUGCACUAAUAGAGGCUAUUAGAUGGUGGAAUGAGAUCUUUCUCUCAUUUCUCUCACUCUCCCACACCAAAACCUCUCCCUCUCUCUCUCUAGAAAGAAAAGAAGGAGAAGAAGAGGGGAAAGAAAGGGAAGAAGAAGAUGAAGGAGAAGAGGCCAAGAAGAUAGAGUUUCAUCUUCAUCUCCUUCCUUGAGCCAUAGGAGCAAGCUUAGAGAGGUAAGCCUUAUGCUCUCUAAUGGUAGACUUCUAGAACUUGGUUUAUAUGUUCUAGAAUUGGAUUUUAUGUACUCCUAGCAUGUCAAAUAGAUGAUAAAUGCUUGGAUCAUGAGAUGAAAUGGUAGAUUUUGCAAUAGUUGCAUAUUAGGGCUCCAAAAAGGGGGUUUUUGUAGAUAGUUGAGUUUGAUCUCAAUUGACCCUCUAUAAACCUAAUUGGGGGUAUAACGAACGCGUUGGUGCGCUCGGUUCGACAAUCCGACGAGUGUACGCAAAGUUAUUGACGAAACAAUCUGUUUUGGUACAGAUAACUGCAGCACGCGGGAUAAGCCUCCAAAAAUCAUGAGAAUGGAUCGGGAGCAUCGUGGUGUCGGGGAAUAAACUCCCGAACAGACGGAUCGCGAAUUGGUGGCCGUUCGGGUGGUCGCACAAGAGUUCGGGCCAGACCGGGUUACGGAUGCCGCGGGAGGCCGAUUGCAAGUGUCGACAAGCAAUCGGAAAGCGUUUUGAGGUGGGUUGUGCUCACCGAAGCGAUUAGGUCGCUUUCCAUGCCAAAGUGUAGUAUGUUUACUAUUGAUGCAUGAUAAAGUAUGCUAUUUGAGAAUGCAUGAUAAAGUAUGCUAUUUAAGAAUGCAUGAUAAAGAUAGAUGCCAAAUGAAUGCAUGAGUUGAUGUUAAUUUACAUGUGCAUAUUAUAGAAAUGCUAAAUAGAUGUCAAAUGAAAGUAUGAGAUUUAUACUAACCGAGAAUGCAUGUAGUAAAUGUUAACGAAUGCAUAAAAUGCUAAGUAAUGACUACCAAUGGAUGACAAAAUAUAUGCAUGUUGAACAUAGAUCGAGUGGCAUUUGGAAAUGGUAAAGUGGACACUAGAGUUAGUGUGGGACAUCAAAGAAUAAAUGUGAUGUAAAGAAUAAUGAUAAUGGCUAAAGAUAAUGUAAAACAAUGUGAUGAUAAUAAUGUAAUGUUGCAUGAUGUGAGUACACGUGCUUAUUAGAAUGACUAAGAAUCUAAAUAAUCUAUAUGUAUGCAUGAGAUGUAAUGUGAGAACCUAAUGAUAAUGGCUUGAGACAAGGCAAAGCAAUGUGAUGUAAAGAAUAAUGAUAAUGGCUAGAGGCGAUGUAAAGUAAUGUGGCAUAAAGAACAAGCAAAGUGUAAAGAACAAUGAUAAUGGCUAGAGUUAGCAACCAAUGUGACAUAAAGAACACUAGAGUUAGUGUGUGGCAAUAAAAGAACAAGUGUGAUAUCAAGAAUGACAAUUACUAAAGUAAUUGAUAAUUGUGGUAUAAAGAAUAAUGAUUGCUAGAGUUAGCAACUAAUGUGAUGUAAAGAACACUAGAGUUAGUGUAAAACCAUGAUCCAACUACAUAUCCUUAGAGUUAAGGAUUGAUCAUACUUGCUAUGAGUUCCGUGCUCGAGGGCGGUCGCUCCCCCUCGGGCGAUGCGCUCCGGAGUUUGGCAUCCGGGUUGGAGUAGACCCGUAAGGACGGUCCUAGCUGGUGAGUUCCUGUGAUGAUGGACUUAAUGUGAAGCAAGUUAAUGUGGCGAAACCCCCGGGUUAGCCGUGAGAUUAAAGAACAAAGAACAAAAA